CCUACGGGAGGCAGCAGUGGGGGAUAUUGGACAAUGGGGGAAACCCUGAUCCAGCGACGCCGCGUGAGUGAAGCAGUAUUUCGGUAUGUAAAGCUCUGUCAGCAGGGAAGAAAGAAAUGACGGUACCUGACCAAGAAGCCCCGGCUAACUACGUGCCAGCAGCCGCGGUAAUACGUAGGGGGCAAGCGUUAUCCGGAAUUACUGGGUGUAAAGGGAGCGUAGACGGUGAUGCAAGUCUGGAGUGAAAGGCGGGGGCCCAACCCCCGGACUGCUCUGGAAACUGUGUCACUUGAGGGCAGGGGAGGUAAGCGGAAUUCCGAGUGUAGCGGUGAAGUGCGUAGAUAUUAGGAGGAACACCAGUGGCGAAGGCGGCUUACUGGACUGUAACUGACGUUGAGGCUCGAAAGCGUGGGGAGCAAACAGGAUUAGAUACCCGAGUAGUC
rnacentral:rRNA from 1 species